AUUCAGCUGACGAGUCCCAAGUAAAACAAAAUGCUCGUCCUGGAU
rnacentral:hammerhead_ribozyme from 2 species